AUGCAUUGCAGCAUUGUACGCAUCGAGUUAACGUCUUGUUCUUGGCUCAUCAGAUUUGGAAGGCCCCCAUCGAUCUCAUCCGUGCCCCUCCUGUGGCUCCUGGAGAUGCCAAACAGCCAACCGUGUAAGUGGAAUGCGCGGCUGGCCGGCAAGCAUGCAAUGCAAUGCAACGCACGUAGCGUACGUGCGUCAAAGACUGGUGAAAAGAUGAGACCCGCCCCCGUCCGCACGGUGCGAUUAUGUUCUUCUGAAUGGCACAUCGGCGGCCGGAGGACCACCGGCGCGCCGAGGUGGAGGAGGAUGAACCUGGCCGCGUUCGUGCGUGUGCUGAGCCACAGUUUGCUGCCAAAGUCGUCCUUGUCGGGCACCACAUUGCGUGGCUUUUGA
rnacentral:rRNA from 1 species